GGGGACGAAAGGAUUUCGACGGGGAUUCUGAAGUACGAUAAGCGGGUAGUGAUGCAGACUCACUUUAAACACUGCAACCUAAAAAUAAACGACAACAAAACUGUCUUAAAGGCUGCUUAAAUGCGGCCCGUCUGAGCGGAGAGUACUGCGGCUUCGCAUCAGGCGUCGAUUAGCAGUGAACGUGAACAGCCGAACAUUCUCAUAGGCUGUCAUGAGCAAGAGGAUACCGAGCUUUAAAGCCUGUCGUCCGGCGUUUUAGCAAGGGAAUUUUAAACGAACGACUCCACCCGAAGAAAGUUGUAUGGAUGGGCUUUCGGACGCGGCUUCGAUUGCCGCCGUCUCCACCA
rnacentral:tmRNA from 1 species